rnacentral:rRNA from 1 species
CCUACGGGAGGCAGCAGUAGGGAAUCUUCCACAAUGGACGAAAGCCUGAUGCAGCAACGCCGCGUGAGUGAUGAAGGCCUUCGGGUCGUAAAGCUCUUUGAUCAGGGAUGAUAAUGACAGUACCUGAAAAACAAGCCACGGCUAGCUACGUGCCAGCAGCCGCGGUA